UCUGUAGGUGGUUUAAUAAGUCAACUGUUAAAUCUUGAGGCUCAACCUCAAAAUCGCAGUCGAAACUAUUAGACUAGAGUAUAGUAGGGGUAAAGGGAAUUUCCAGUGGAGCGGUGAAAUGCGUAGAUAUUGGAAGGAACACCGAUGGCGAAGGCACUUUACUGGGCUAUUACUAACACUCAGAGACGAAAGCUAGGGUAGCAAAUG
rnacentral:rRNA from 1 species